UUGCCUUAGUAACGGCGAGUGAAGCGGCAAAAGCUCAAAUUUGAAAUCUGGCACCUUCGGUGUCCGAGUUGUAAUUUGAAGAAGGUAACUUUGGAGUUGGCUCUUGUCUAUGUUCCUUGGAACAGGACGUCACAGAGGGUGAGAAUCCCGUGCGAUGAGAUGCCCAAUUCUAUGUAAAGUGCUUUCGAAGAGUCGAGUUGUUUGGGAAUGCAGCUCUAAGUGGGUGGUAAAUUCCAUCUAAAGCUAAAUAUUGGCGAGAGACCGAUAGCGAACAAGUACAGUGAUGGAAAGAUGAAAAGAACUUUGAAAAGAGAGUGAAAAAGUACGUGAAAUUGUUGAAAGGGAAGGGCUUGAGAUCAGACUUGGUAUUUUGCGAUCCUUUCCUUCUUGGUUGGGUUCCUCGCAGCUUACUGGGCCAGCAUCGGUUUGGAUGGUAGGAUAAUGACUAAGGAAUGUGGCUCUACUUCGGUGGAGUGUUAUAGCCUUGGUUGAUACUGCCUGUCUAGACCGAGGACUGCGUCUUUGACUAGGAUGCUGGCAUAAUGAUCUU
rnacentral:rRNA from 1 species